CGAGUCUGAUAAUAUUUCUUAGAAUAAUUCUUACUAAGAAAUUGGAAAUUCGUGUUUAUAUACAUUCGACGUGUUACGAUUGUAUCGUCGAUAAAUUUUGUUUUGAAUUUGUAAUUGCUAAGGUGAAAUCGUGCGAGGCGUCACUUUAUCGUUGGAAGUCGUGGCGUACGGACUGCUUUCGGUAUACGAGUAGUAACUUAUUGCGUAUUACGUUAUUUUCAUUUAUAGAUAUUUUUGUACUUUUUUUUUAUAUAUUAUUAUUUAAUUAAUACGCGUUUAUUCAAUAAUUAGUCGAAUAUAUUAUAAUAUAUUAUAAUUUUUUUUCAUUGAUUUAUUUUAGGUUAUUUUAGGUUAGAAUUGUUGGUAGUUCGUAUCAUGAAUUUCUAAAAUGAAAUUUUUGCGUAAUUAUUUUUUGUUUUAACACAUUCGGUUUUAAUUUUAUGUAUAUUUAAAUAUAUUUUAUAUAUUUAUUUGAUUACUUUUUGUGGAAAUUAAUAGCUAUUUAAUAAAAUAACUUUUGAAUAUGGACGCUACAACGGUCAAUCAGAUAAUUUACUUUUAAAAAUUUUUGUGAUCGCGUGCAAUGCGAUUAAUAGAGUCAGUGUUUGCUUCGUAACAGUAUUUUUAACGUUUUUAGUGUAUAAUUGUUCUAGUUAAAAUUAAUUACAUGUUUUUCGUAAAAUUCGAGUCAGUAUUCGUCGAUUAGAUAUAACAAUUGUGUCGAUAGUUUUUUAUUUUUUCUUAAAUAUUUGUUUUCGGUAUAUAUUAGAAUCAGUGUUUCAAGAAAAUCAAGCGAUCAUCUGUUCGAAAAGUCUCUUCUGCGAUUACAUCUUGAUUUCUUCUAGACCAUAGCAGCAUGAUGAUGUCCUUGGCACCUAAUGUUUCUCGUAGUCAUCGAUGACGUGUUUAGAGGAGUCAUAAGGAAGAGCUAGACAACUUGUAACAAUACCAGCCUCCAAAAUAAUGUGCUCGAAGACGCAAACACGUCAAUUAAGUUGAUUUCACAGUUACGAAACGAGACACGGGAAAAAGGACGAAGAACAAACAUUUUAACGAUAAGCUUUUGCCGCCGCUGCUACUACUACCACUAGGUCGUCCUCCGCUUCGGAAACUUUUAAGAAGCCGAAGAAGAAUAUUCGCAAAUGGAGUACUCAAGUUCCAGUUUGCGGUCAGUACGCUCAUAUUAUGCAGCCGUGAUCUUUGUAGAUUACAAACGAAAGUCUUUUCUCUUAGUGGCGUUCCGGGCGAUGUUAAACUUUUGUGGGCCAGCAGCCGUCCAUUACGGUGAUAACAUUGCAGCCAUCAAGCUUACCACUGCUUACUCCCCAUCUUUCGAAGAAGAAGAAACUGCUUUUAAUCUUCAAAGAGGAUUCUUUUAACCCUUUGUAACAUAAGUAGAUUUCUCGUUCCUUGUGAAACGAAAUUUAUCAUAAUUUCUUAGUGUUUCUUAAAGUCAAAUAAAUACGAAUCUUUACUAAUAUUAUAUCGUUCCACGAGGAAUGAAGCAAUGCAUACAAUAAUUUGGCUUAAUAAGAUAUGAUAAUUCGACAUGAAUGAAGAAGACGAAUGAAGAAUUAAUUUGUAAAAAAUAAAUAACAGGUAAGUGAAAUUUCAGAAAAAAUUUACCUCUCUCCUUUUCAAUUUUCAAGAAACUAUUCGUCGCUCACGACGUACCUUAAACCUGAUUUCUAAAUCCUUAUUAUCCAUACUCGAAUAACUCGUAUUAAUAAUCAAUAAGUAACCUAAAAUUUUAAAUACAAAUAAAUAACUCGAAUAACUCAGGUAGUGCAGAAACUUUCAACCGAAAACGUUAAACGGAAGACAAAGAAGAAAGUCUGGCUAAUCAGCAAUACCACGAUCCCUGUCCGUAAAGCGAAGGGAGACUUUCGCCCUGGUAGUCACCUGUAAUCUGCCCGUAAACGGUUUAAAGUACGCUAAUUCUCCUCGCUACCUCGGGAAAACAUCUCUCCAGACCAAGCCUCUUAGGAGCUAGCGCUCGUUAGGCUUGCCUUGUAAGCGGCCAACCGAUUCGUAUACCUGCGUGCCGUGUUUCACCACCUCGUCGAUUCGCCGCGAGAACACAACGUGAGAAUCGAAAGUCGCAGAGACGGACCGCAACCGUUUGAAACCGGAUGCACAGGCCGCGUAUACGCGCAAGCACGGUGGUGGUGGGGAGGAGGGGGGAUAAAGGGGGCGGUUCGAACACGCGUCUAAUACCGAUUAUACCGCGUUUAACACGAGCGUCUUUCGACAACGCGACGAAUGGAAACGCGGCGGUUUCAAGCGCAUGGUCGUCGUUAAGCGAACGUGUUUCUCGGACGAAUCGGCCGCUCGCGUGUAUUUAAUCGGAUCGUCGGUGAACGCCCGAUCCGGACCGGACGCUCCGUAUCAAUCGGCCUCGCGUGAAUACUACUGCUACUAUUACCACUACCACCAUUGCAGGUCCAAACUGCAGGUAAUGAUAUCGUAGGGCGGGGAUGGAGGACGAAGGAUUUCGCGUUUGUGUAUCUACAGGUAUGUACUGUACCGGAGGGGUGAUAUUAGGAGGGAGGGAAGGGGCUCGUUAUGGUCGGUUUUGGGGCAGGAUAUGGUUUGAGAGUAGUGUAUUUAAGAGCCGUCGUACGUGUUUAAUAUACGGGAAGCGUGGAUGUUACGUUAUCAUCAAGAUCUGCAUCGACGUGUAGUUGUAAUCUUGAUAAUUUGCAGCGAGAUCUUCUCCUCAUUUUGAAUGGUAAAUAAAUCUUAUGCGUGUGCUUUAUGCGUUAUCUUGUUUUUUUUUUUUUUUUUUUUUUUUUUGAAAAUAAUUUUAAUUUUGUGGAAGGGAAAAUUCGUUCGGGAAAUGAUUCGAAGAUAAGGAAACGAAUAUAAGAUAAUGGAAAUACCUUGUAAUUAAUCGGAUUUAUCGGAGUAUGCAAGAAGAAAUGCAUGUUUAUCGAACGUUUAUUUGCAGAAUGCAUUAUCAUUAGCAAAACUGCAAGAACAAUGUAAUAAAAUAAACAAAAAUGUGAUAAAGAAUUGUUAAUUUUUGUCGGUAUGACGAGAGAAUUGCUCGUUAAAUAAUGACUAAUAAGUUAAAGAAUUUAAUCUUAAUGUUCAAACAGGUACGUGAUUUGACGUUAUAUCGUAUGUUUCCCAAAGAUAUUCACAAUAUAACAAAACAAUCAUUUGUUGGAACAACAUGGAGUAGCCAAAUACCAUGUUCCGAAAUACACGUUAACGAAAAAAAAAGAGACAUGUGUUUCAAUUAACGGUAACCUCAAUAAACUGUGAAUAAAUUUUUUUUCACCAGUUUUACAUUUUUAGAACGCAACUGUGCUAAUGGAUACUACAUUCGUCAUUCGAGAAUAUGGUUGUUAACACAAAGAGUAAUCGUAUAAGAUCGAUAAAAUUACAAUUCACCAUUGUUGGAUCAAUUAUAAACAUGCAUUACUAUAGAAUAUGAAUGUCGAUUAUUAUAAAUGCUUGUUUUACAAGAAAUCUAUCGAUCGAAAAAACAAUUCCGUUUAAUCUUAGAUUAAAAAAAAAAAAAAAAAAAAAAUGGAAAAAAUGAAUAAAUUAAAAAUCGAAAAAUCUAAAUUAGAAAUAAAAUAUUAACGAAGUGUUUCGAAAAAUAAAAGGCAACUCCGGAUGGAGUGGUCAACGAAUAAUUUUACACUCGCUACAAACAGCCGCGCUAUGCCAGAGAAUCGAAACUAAUCUGUGCACGGUUUUAUCAUCGUGGCGUGGAACGCUCUCUAAAAACCUAGUCGAAAAACCACACGUUAUAUGGUAAUACCGGUGAAUACUCGG